rnacentral:rRNA from 1 species
AGCUAUCUGCAGUCGAGCGCAGGAGUUAUCUGAUCCUCUUUUAGAGGUGACGAUAAUGGAAUGAGCGGCGGACGGGUGAGUACACGUAGGCAACCUGCCUGUAAGACUGGGAUACUCGUGGAAACGCGAGCUAAUACCGGAUAACACUUUUCAUCUCCUGAUGAGAAGUUGAAAGGCGGCUUUUGCUGUCACUUACAGAUGGGCCUGCGCGCAGUAGCUAGUUGGUAAGGUAAUGGCUUACCAAGGCGACGAUGCGUAGCCGACCUGAGAGGGUGAUCGGCCACACUGGGACUGAGACACGGCCCAGACGGCAGCAGUAGGGAAUCUUCCGCAAUGGACGAAAGUCUGACGGAGCAACGGAUGAAGGUUUUCGGAUCGUAAAACUCUGUUGUUAGGGAAGAACAAGUGCGAUGGCACCUUGACGGUACCUAACCAGAAAGCCACGGCUAACUACGUGCCAGCAGCCGCGGUAAUACGUAGGUGGCAAGCGUUGUCCGGAAUUAUUGGGCGUAAAGCGCUCGCAGGCGGUUCUCUAAGUCUGAUGUGAAAUCUUACGGCUCAACCGUAAACGUGCAUUGGAAACUGGGGAACUUGAGUGCAGAAAAGGAGAGUGGAAUUCCACGUGUAGCGGUGAAAUGCGUAGAGAUGUGGAGGAACACCAGUGGCGAAAGCGACUCUCUGGUCUGUAACUGACGCUCAGGAGCGAAAGCGUGGGGAGCGAACAGGAUUAGAUACCCUGGU